rnacentral:rRNA from 1 species
UUGUUGGUAAGGUAAAAGCUUACCAAGGCUUCGAUCAGUAGCUGGUCUGAGAGGACGGCCAGCCACACUGGGACUGAGACACGGCCCAGACUCCUACGGGAGGCAGCAGUGGGGAAUUUUGGACAAUGGGGGCAACCCUGAUCCAGCCAUGCCGCGUGAGUGAAGAAGGCCUUCGGGUUGUAAAGCUCUUUCAGCCGGAACGAAACGGUUACGGAUAAUACCCGUGACUACUGACGGUACCGGAAGAAGAAGCACCGGCUAACUACGUGCCAGCAGCCGCGGUAAUACGUAGGGUGCAAGCGUUAAUCGGAAUUACUGGGCGUAAAGCGUGCGCAGGUGGUUUUGUAAGUCAGAUGUGAAAGCCCCGGGCUCAACCUGGGAACUGCGUUUGAAACUACAAGACUAGAGUGUGGCAGAGGGGGGUGGAAUUCCGCGUGUAGCAGUGAAAUGCGUAGAGAUGUGGAGGAACACCGAUGGCGAAGGCAGCCCCCUGGGUCAACACUGACGCUCAGGCACGAAAGCAUGGGGAGCAAACAGGAUUAGAUACCCUGGUAGUCCAUGCCCUAAACGAUGUCAACUAGUUGUCGGGCCUUUACGGGCUUGGUAACGUAGCUAACGCGUGAAGUUGACCGCCUGGGGAGUACGAUCGCAAGAUUAAAACUCAAAUGAAUUGACGGGGACCCGCACAAGCGGUGGAUUAUGUGGAUUAAUUCGAUGCAACGCGAAAAACCUUACCUACCCUUGACAUGUAUCGAAGCCCGCAGAAAAGCGGGGGUGCCCGAAAGGGAACGAUAACACAGGUGCUGCAUGGCUGUCGUCAGCUCGCGUCGUGAGAUGUUGGGUUAAGUCCCGCAACGAGCGCAACCCUUGUCAUUAAUUGCCAUCAUUUAGUUGGGCACUUUAAUGAGACUGCCGG